GCAAAUGAUCCGCUUUACAAAUAUCCGCAAGGCUUGGAAGGCAGGCUUAGGCUGCUAAAACAGCCAUCUCUUCCUCCAAUACCUGAAGAGGGACACGCUUCGACAAGGCGGAACGUGUUGGAUGCGCAGUUAAGAAAUCAACUUUUUGCUGGAAGCGGAAUUCCGCCUAUUACUGGGUUCGCUCAUCACCGGCCACACCAUCCUCGAGUACCAGACUACGAUCGCAGAUUCGGGCCUCGCGUUGCCCUCAAUCUUGCCUAUUUCCGACUAAGAAAUCGCGAACGUGGGUGAUUGUGAUGGACUCAUUAUCAAUAUGCACCAUUGAGGGACUUGAAGUAAGUUUGGACGCAGCAGGAAAUGAGGACCAGCGGACGCAAGUCUUGCCUGCGGAGCAGCCUAACGUUACCCGGCCUUAGUUGAUCGGUCACCAAGGUGGUUACGAGGCUUUUCCGGUUUUAAUAUUGUGUGCUCGUUCAGAUAUCGUGAAUCACAACAGAUGAACAGACUGAAAAAAAAAACUCUAUGUACCGAUUGACUCGUUUCAGUAGGCCUGGAAACAACAGCGCCGGAAUGCCGGCUAUACUUUAGUGGCAUUUAAUACAAGUGCGAUUGCGCCGAUUGUGAUUGAGUUAUUGUGCGUAUGCAGUUUACAAUGUGGUUCUUUCACCACAGUAUGAAAACAAC
rnacentral:lncRNA from 1 species